UACGCAGGGGGCUAGCGUUGCUCGGAAUUACUGGGCGUAAAGGGAGCGUAGGCGGACAUUUAAGUCAGGGGUGAAAUCCCAGAGCUCAACUCUGGAACUGCCUUUGAUACUGGAUGUCUUGAGUGUGAGAGAGGUAUGUGGAACUCCGAGUGUAGAGGUGAAAUUCGUAGAUAUUCGGAAGAACACCAGUGGCGAAGGCGACAUACUGGCUCAUUACUGACGCUGAGGCUCGAAAGCGUGGGGAGCAAACAGG
rnacentral:rRNA from 1 species